UUUGGUGGCUUGUCGCUGGGGAUACACCUGUUCUCAUUCCGAACACAGUAGUUAAGUCCAGUAGAACCGAUGAUACUCCUUUGUGGGGAAAGUAGGUAGCCGCCAAGA
rnacentral:rRNA from 1 species